rnacentral:misc_RNA from 1 species
AAAAUAAUCCUACCCUUUGUGAAUUUUGUUUGUUUGAAUAAUUUUUUUUUUUAAAAAAUUAUUGGAGUCUUUCCCUUUAGAGUUUGCUUUUGAGUUUGUAAAAGAAUUCGAAAACAUCUAAAGGGGAUGGUCAAUAAUUUUUUUUGAAAAAAGACAUUUUUUAAAAUUAAACUUUUUGUAUUCAUUUGUCUAAAAAUUAUUUUUAUAAUAUAAAAACAACUUUUGACAAUGGAUCUCUUGGUUCUCGCAACGAUGAAGAACGCAGCAAAAUGCGAUAAGUAGUGUGAAUUGCAGAAUACGUGAAUCAUCGAAUCUUUGAACGCAUAUUGCGCUUUUUUAGUUUACUAAAAAAGUAUGUCUGUUUGAGUAUCAGUAAAAUAUUCUCAUAAAAAUCAUUGUGUAUUUUUAUGGUUAUGAGUGUUUUACAACGAUACAAGUUGUUUCACUUUAAAUUUUUUUUUUAAUAUUGAAAUUUUUCUAAUUUUAAUAAUUAAAAUUGGAUAAAAUUUUCCCGUCAAAAGGAAUAACCUAAACAAUUUUAAAUGAUUAAUUUUAGCAAAAUUUUCGAAAAAAAGGAAAAUUUUUAUUAAAAUAACUUGAUCUCAAAUCAGAUAAGAGUACCCGCUGAACUUAAGCAUAUCAAUAAGCGGAGGAAAAGAAACUAACAAGGAUUCCCUUAAUAACGGCGAGUGAAGCGGGAAGAGCUCAAAUUUGAAAUCUUCAAGGUUUUACCUUGACGAAUUGUAGUUUAAAGAAGUGUUUUCUGCUGAAGUUUUGGUAAAAGUUCUUUGGAAUAGGACAUCAUAGAGGGUGAGGAUCCCGUAUUUGACCAUUAUUUUCAGCUUUGUGAUACACUUUCAAAGAGCCGGAUUGUUUGGGAAUGCAGUCCAAAAUGGGUGGUAAAUUUCAUCUAAAGCUAAAUAUUGGCGAGAGACCGAUAGCGAACAAGUACCGUGAGGGAAAGAUGAAAAGAACUUUGAAAAGAGAGUUAAACAGUACGUGAAAUUGUCAAAAGGGAAGCGUUUGACACCAGUGUUGUUUUCUCGAAAUCAAUUAAAAAUGGCUCGAUUUUGUAUUGCUGAGACCUUAAAAGCUCACUGUACAUUUUUCGUGUCUUUUUUAAUGCACUUUUCGUUUAACAAGUCAACAUCAGUUUCUUUUGUUGUAAAAGGGUCAUUGGAAGGUGGCUUUCUUUUCGGAGAAAGUGUUUAUAGCCUUUGGCCUCUGCAAUCGGAGAGACUGAGGUCUGCAGCGUAGACUCUUCGGGGUUAGACACAUUUGUGCUAAGUUAUAGCUUUUUAUAGACAACUUGUUGACUAUAAUUAGUCUUGUAGCUUACUCGCUUAUGCUAUUUUACCUACGCUUAGGAUG